UACAGAGGGUGCGAGCGUUGUUCGGAAUUAUUGGGCGUAAAGGGCGCGUAGGCGGUGCGGUAAGUCACCUGUGAAAUCUCCUGGCUCAACUGGGAGCUUGCAGGCGAAACUGCCGUGCUGGAGUGUGGGAGAGGUGCGUGGAAUUCCUGGUGUAGCGGUGAAAUGCGCAGAUAUCAGGAGGAACACCGGUGGCGAAGGCGGUUCUCUGGGCCUUACCUGACGCUGAGGAGCGAAAGCGUGGGGAGCAAACAGG
rnacentral:rRNA from 1 species